ensembl:lncRNA
CUAUGAAAAUAUCUUCCAAACGAAGUAAACAGACGGUUGGUCAUGUUGCUGUAUACAGAAUGAAGAAAAUAAUGUUGAAAUCACCACAAGCAGAGUCAUUUCUUGUAAGCAGUUAGGCACUAUAUAUAAGUUCAUUGUUGCUAAUUAUACCAACUCCUGUAGACUUUACUUGCGAAGACUUUUUGAGAUCAGUGCUCCAUCAUUAUUUUCUUCAUUCUGUAUACAGCAACAUGACCAACCGUCUGUUUACUUCGUUUGGAAGAUAUUUUCAUUGAUUAUGUAUCCCUGAAGCCUGUGUACACUGGAACCAAUAUCAGACUUUGAUAACUUUUGUGUUAGAGCUGUUGCUCCUUUUCAUUUUGUCUGGCACUACCAAAUUGAGCUUGGUACGGGGAACUUUAAUAAUACUAUAUGCUAUUUGGACAUUAUAUUUUUUUGUACCUAGACCAUCUUGUGUUUGUGUAGAUCUAAUCUUUAAGGACAGUACCCACCACCAUUCUCCUCCUCUUCCUCCUUUAUUCCUCUCCGGAGAGAUAGGAUGCUUCCUCGUGUUGCCAUGGUGACGAGGCAUCCUCCGGUUGCCAUGGUGACGUGGUCCAGCUCGAGUUUGGCAACCAUGGAGCAUCCUGCAUCCUCACCUUGCUCUGAGGCGGCAACAAAAGCCUUUGAGCACCUGCGGGGAGUAGAAAAACAGCUUCAAAAUGAAGGACUUGUAUUCAACAAGGAAACUGUGCAGCACCUUGGAGAUGCCAUUAAAGCCAUUAAGGACCUGGUAAUGAGAAAACCUAAACAUGAGAAGACUUUUGGCGUAUACAUGGUAGCGAGACGUUUGACCAGAUUUGCAUGAACUGGAUGUGCAGAUGACUGGCUGUUCUACUUGAAUUUAUCCCAAGGAGUGUUAAUAGAGAAGGGCUGGAAUCUGGUAUUGACUUAAUCUCUCAACUAAGUAAUUUCUCCUGGCCCAACGUCUAGAAAUCUUUUGGAAAUGUCAUUCUGCCAUGCCGUGAUCCUUGGCUGAAUGGAUCUCCUUCUCUCCGUACAGCUGAGACCUGAUAAAGAAAGUUGUAGUGGUAAAAGUUAUGACUGUGGCAACAGUGUCAAAUUUUUAAGUAUUGUUUGUGAAUAUGAAACAGUUUCCUAACUAUAAUUGUUCAUACUUAGGACUAUUUCAUGCCUGCGAAUCUGAUACAUUUACCUAACAGUAACUGCUUCAUAUUCAUUGCUUCAUCAAUGAACAUUAGCAAAACAAAGACAAUUAUGGUACAGUAGAGUCUCACUUAUCCAACAUUCUGGAUUAUCCAACGCAUUUUUGUAGUCAAUGUUUUCAAUACAUUGUGAUAUUUUGGUGCUAAAUUCAUAAAUACAGUAAUUACUACAUAGCAUUACUGCGUAUUGAACUACUUGUUCUGUCAAAUUUGUUGUAUAACAUGAUGUUUUGGUGCUUAAUUUGUAAAAUCAUAACCAAAUUUGAUGUUUAUAGGCUUUUCCUUAAUCCCUCCUUAUUAUCCAGCAUAUUUGCUUUAUCCAAUGUUCUGCCUGCCCGUUUUAUGGAUAAGUGAGAUUCUACUGUACUUUCUUUCUCAAAUAUUCUAUAAUGCCAAGCAGAUAACAAUCAAUCAUUCCGAUGAAAAGAGUAUCAAUGGAUACUGAUGGCUGCAGCUGAAAAUACAUUGAUUUCAAAAUCUUAGCCUGCUGUGAAAUCUUGUGGAUUGCUUGGAACAUGAAUCCCAUAAACCCAACAGAUAAAUACACACUACAAAUUUGAGGUGUGUGUGUGGGGGGGGGGGGGGAGUCAAAAGAAAGGAGCAAGAUUUGUGUUGUCGAAGGCUUUCAUGACUGGGAUCAUAGGGUUGUUGUAUGUUUUCCAGGCUGUAUGGCCAUGUUCCAGAAGUAUUCUCUCCUGACGUUUCGCCAUAGAUGUGGGUGAAACGUCAGGAGAGAAUACUUCUGGAACAUGGCCAUACAGCCCGGAAAACAUACAACAACCCUGAAGAAGAGUUUGUUCCCCUUCG